AGGAAGCACAACAUUUUACAGUAAAAAAACAAGUAACACGUAAAUACCAUAUGGCUACUCUGCCUACAAAGUUCAGGUAGAUGGCAGGUCCCACUACUGCCCUGAAAUCAUUACAGAAAUUUGAGACCCUAGCAUUGUGUCCUCCAGAUUUGCGUUGUCCACUGGUCAUGUAACAACAAAUUUCAUAAUAGUAACCACUCACAGCACCAACAAAAAAUGUGGACAUUACCUAAGUACGUAUUACUGACGUAAAAAAGAAUUGACGAGGUGAACCCCCAACAAAUGCUUAGCACACGAACAAACUGAUAGGACUGGGAUUUGCGAGUAUGCAACAAACAAACUGAUAGGACUGGGAUUUGCGAGUAUGCAACAUUUAACUUGAUGCAACAGGCUUGGCAAUGGCCUUCUUAACAGCCUCAGCAUAUGUCCUGUGCUGGUAAGUCAAUGUUGAUUCCAGUAAGUCCCAUAGUGAAGUCUUCGGGUCCCAGCCAAGUUGCUUAUGGAUUAUGGUCAUGUCUGGAAUACGUUUAUCACUGUCAUCAUAUCCUUCACCAUAGAACUCCUUGGAGCUUACAUCAAUCGUCGGUACCUCAAUUGUUGGCUCCCCUGAUACUUUUGAAUACACCUCAGCCAUCAUCUCUGCAAGCUGCUUGACAGUAACUUCAUUGUUAGGAUUUCCCACAUUAAAGAUGUGGCCAUUGGCACGAGCAGGGUUCUCAAUCAUCAAAAGAACUGCUUCAAUGGCAUCCUUAAUGUACACAAACGUUCUCUGGGACUGGCCACCAUCAACGAGCUUCAGUGGCUCACCCCGAAGGAGAUUAUUACUGAAGCAAGCCAAAACCCUGGGGACACCCUCACUUGGCCCAUCAAUCCCUGGAAUAAAAUCCAUCCUUGGGCCAAUCCAAUUGAAAGGCCUCACAAUAGUGAACUCGAGGCCAUUUUCAGCUCCCUCAGCAUAAACUAGCCUUUCAAUUAGCUGCUUAGCACAUGCAUAAGACCACCUCUGUUUCUCAAUAGAGCCAAAGAUACAUGGUGAUGCAUCUUCUUUGAGAACAUAAAACUCAGGAUCCUGUCGUAGAGGAUGGUCCUUAGGUAGAAAGCUCCCGAUCGUCUUCCCAUACACCUCACACGUCGAGAAAUGGAUGAGCCUCUUGCUGUUCUCCGAACAGUACUUCACCACCGGGAGCGCAUCGAUGAAAUUGCUGUAGAUAGUGUCAAGCGGACGUGUAUUGUAGUCCGCCGGCGUGCAGAUCGCCGCCAGAUUGAUCGUCAGAUCGGACAUCUUGAUGAGGCCCUCAAGGCGGGGAUCGUUUUUGAUGUUGAGGCGGUGGAAGUUGAUCCGGCCGGUCCAGGGAUGGGGAGAGUCAGCGGGACUCUCGAGGAGGUGCUUGAUCUUGUCACUGUAAACGUCGACGGCGAGCACCGUGUGGGGGGUCUCCGACAUGAGCUUCUCGCAGAGGUGGGAGCCGAUGAAGCCGCCGGCGCCGAUCAUGCAGAUCGUUAUCGGAGAAAUCGCGUUGCCGUCCAGAUCGAGCCUCGCCGGAGCUGCUGCCGCCGCCAUCGCUGACGCCGGAGGUGAAGGAUUGGAUCGAGAU
rnacentral:misc_RNA from 1 species